GCCAGUGUGUUGGAAUGGUUUGCGUGUUGGACUAUGACUUUGGAGACCAGGGUUCGAAUCCCAGCUCAGCCA